GAUGAACGCUAGCUACAGGCCUAACACAUGCAAGUCGAGGGGAAACGACAUCGAAAGCUUGCUUUUGAUGGGCGUCGACCGGCGCACGGGUGAGUAACGCGUAUCCAACCUGCCCACCACUUGGGGAUAACCUUGCGAAAGUAAGACUAAUACCCAAUGAUAUCCCACGAAGACAUCUGAAUGGGAUUAAAGAUUUAUCGGUGAUGGAUGGGGAUGCGUCUGAUUAGCUUGUUGGCGGGGUAACGGCCCACCAAGGCAACGAUCAGUAGGGGUUCUGAGAGGAAGGUCCCCCACAUUGGAACUGAGACACGGUCCAAACUCCUACGGGAGGCAGCAGUGAGGAAUAUUGGUCAAUGGGCGAGAGCCUGAACCAGCCAAGUAGCGUGCAGGAAGACGGCCCUAUGGGUUGUAAACUGCUUUUAUAAGGGAAUAAAGUGGGUCACGUGUGACUUUUUGCAUGUACCUUAUGAAUAAGGACCGGCUAAUUCCGUG
rnacentral:rRNA from 1 species